rnacentral:rRNA from 1 species
UACGUAGGGUGCAAGCGUUGUCCGGAAUUAUUGGGCGUAAAGAGCUCGUAGGCGGUCUGUCGCGUCGGCUGUGAAAACUCGGGGCUCAACUCCGAGCUUGCAGUCGAUACGGGCAGGCUAGAGUUCGGUAGGGGAGACUGGAAUUCCUGGUGUAGCGGUGAAAUGCGCAGAUAUCAGGAGGAACACCGGUGGCGAAGGCGGGUCUCUGGGCCGAUACUGACGCUGAGGCGCGAAAGCGUGGGUAGCAAACGGG